rnacentral:lncRNA from 1 species
GAGAUCAGCCUCGCAGGCGAUGAGGUGCUCAGCGCACUCGUAAUGACCAGUCCUCACCGCCACAUGCAGCGCUGUGCUGAGAAGCUUAAAAAAUCAGAAAAUGGUGGAAGGAGUGAGAACAGACACUGUCCGAGACCUCAAGGCAUGUGCAAAGUGGGUGUGUGGCUGAGGUGUUCACAGAAUAAGGACUAGCAGAGGACCUCCGUGGACGGAUAGGACUCUCAAGGAAACAGAAGCCUACGGAAGGACUGGGAAAUACCUUGUCUCUGGCACUGAUUUUGGCUCCUUUGUUCAGCAACAGUUUCAGGACAUCUGCGUUUCCUCCACGACAUGCCCAGUGGAUGGCUGUGGAUUCAAGCUAUUUGGGAAAGGAAAAACACAAGCAAGAAGGACUGCUUAUGUUGGCUCAUUUCCAAGCAAGAAAUAUAUUUACCAUAUCUCGGAAUUCAAUCUGGGCUCCAGCCUCCAUUAACUUCUCCACGAUCGCCAAGUGUCCUUCUAAGCAUGCUCGGUGGAGUGCCGUCCGUUUAUACUGUCGGAGAUUAAAGCAAGAGAUAGCGAUGUAGCAACAGCUGGAGAAACUUUUAGGUGGAAGACAUUGAGACUGUAUUUGCCAGCCUCCAGGAAGGCACGGCACAGGCUUGCUUACCUCAUCGCAGACGUCGGGGCUGUUCUUGUCUGACAGGAAUUUCUCUACAACUGGCAGUUUGUUCUCCAGCGCAGCUUUCAGAAACCUCGGCACAUCCACAGGUUCAGUCUAAAGUGAGGGAAGAGGAGGGCAGGAGGAGACAGACAGAGGAGGAGAAGGAAGAGGAAGAGGCAAAGGGAAGGGAGAGGAAAAGACAAGACAGGAGAAGAAGGGAGAGGAUGCUCAUAAAGAGUAGAGGAGAAAGUGGGAAAGAACAAAGAAGAAAGAAAUUGAGGAGAAAGGAGAGAAAAGGGAAAGAAAUCGAAAGUGGCCAUGAGUUUUGCUGCCGUCGUCCCUCCACAGGACUCACCCCUGCAACUUAUAAGGAUGUGCAAUAACCAAACAGUCCUUACCAUAAUUUCAGGUUCUGGCUCCUUCACAACUGGAACUUUGGUUUUCUUGUAUUUUUUCCUUUUCUUCAGUUGAACAAUUAUUUCAAGGUCUUCUAAGUUUUCAAGCUUUGAUCUUUGUUCUAGUUUUUUCUUUUUGAGCUAACGAAAGGGGGGAAAAAUCAAGUGUUGAAAAAUAUAUAGUGAGUUCUAACUAUUGUGGUACCUGAACAAACCCUGCACAGCCUGAGCAAACUGUGAGUGGGCUGAGAAUGGGAAAUCCAAAGCACUUUCAAGUGAGUGUCUGACUUCAGGGAUUUUAUUUUCAUUAAAGUAUUUGGGGUCUAAUUUUAAUCUAAGUCAUAUUUACUUCCUUUGCUUGUAGAACUAGUCCUUGACUAAUUGGUUAGAGGCACGACAUAGUCUCUCAGUAAUCAUUUUGUAAUUAGUACCAUAAAGCCCAGAUUUCUAUAGAAUUUGUUUUCUCAUUCUCAAAAACUAACAUAUGUUUUAACCAAGGGUAGAAAAUACAGAUAAAUUCACAAAUACUGAUGCCAUUCUCCUUCACGAGUCUCUGAAACGGAGAUUACUGCUGCACUUCUAAAUUUGUGUUAGUAAUCUACAAAAAUUCAAUAAAUAAAUUUCAAUAAA